rnacentral:lncRNA from 1 species
UUCAAGAUUACUGAGUAAAUCUCAGAAAACUGAGAGGGUCUGAAUGUGCCUGUGGAAGCUGCAGAAAGUCCCGUAUGGCGUUCGGCUGCUUUUGGCAGCUCCCUAAGCAUUUUCCGGUCAUCUCAGUUAUUCCUGAAGUUUCCUCAGGAAGUUGUGGCCUGAGCAAAAAAUUAGUGGCGUUGUGCGUGAUUCAUGUUUCGACGUUUCCACAAGCUCCUGGCUAUCUCUUGGGAGGUUCCGAAAGUCACCGAAUGCUGAUGAGCGUUUCUGACACCUCCAAACACGUUUUGGCCAAGUUGAAAUUGCAACUUCAGCAUCACUUGCUGGGAGUACUUGGCCCUGGCUUCCUUGGUCUCUGAUGGUUAAUGACACCUCCAGACUUCGGUGAAGCUUUACAUCCAGGCCAGAGAAAGACCUUUGGACUAGGUUCUGGAGACUUAGGUUCAAGUUCUAGUUACCACCUUGCAAAUGCCGUGGACAUCCUUGGGCUCCAUCUUGGCAUUGAUUGAAUGAGGCCGCCCCAAAGACCCUGACAUACUUUUGCUCAUUCUCCUUGGAAGCCGUUGUUUUUUUGUUUUUUGGGUUUUUUUUGGUACCGGCGAUCGAACUCGAGACCUUGAGCUGCGUGGCAGGCGGCAGAACCACUGAGCUAAAUCCCUGGCCCGAGAUUUGGCUUUUUGCAAGAGGCCCUGUAGCUAUUUGACUGAGUGAUUGACUAAGCUGUAGGCAAUUAAAUUGUUUUCUAUGCCUGACCCAUUUUUUCAUAAAUGCUGUCUGAUCACAUGGUUAGCUGGGGUUCUUAGGACCUGCUCUCGUUCUGGGAGCUGCCUAAUUUACAAUUUUUUGUUCUGUUUUUCUUUGCUCAGGUAAACUACCAGAUUUAAUUGGCCAAAGGAAUUUUUCCUAUUUCCAGGCAUGGUGGCAUAUGCCUGUAAUCCCAGCACUGGAGAAGCUGAGGCAAGAGGGUCAUUGAGAGUUCAAGGUGAGCUAAAGUUCUCUGAAGAACCCACAUCUAUAUUCAAGAGCCUGCACACUGUUUGACCUUGGCUGACCAGAACACCAGUUAAAAAAAAAAAAAAAGAGCCAGUUUACUUGGGCUAUCCUCAGCUUUUUAAUGAGAUGGGGUAUUGGCAGGACUUUGAAGUAGCAGCCUGAGAGAAAACAAAUAGGCAGCAGCAACUUUAGGCAAUAAGGGGGGAAAGUAAAUCAGCCUGUUAAUUAAGUGAGCAAGCCAUUGUAUUCUUUAGUAUAUGGAAGUGGGAUGCACAGGCAAACUGUAUGAGACCCAUGGGAGCAAACACAGCGACAGCUCUAUGGAGGGCUGACCCUGACCCUAAACUUUCAAACUCACACCUGUGAAGUAAUGAAGCUCCACCCAGUUGAGAGACCCCACCCCUUACUGAAAACAUAAAUAAAGAAUGACAUUCCUUCCAGACCACAUAAAAAUGAACUGCUUG